GAUGAACGCUGGCGGCAUGCUUUACACAUGCAAGUCGGACGGGAAGUGGUGUUUCCAGUGGCGGGCGGGUGAGUAACGCGUAAGAACCUGCCCUUGGGAGGGGAACAACAGCUGGAAACGGCUGCUAAUACCCCGUAGGCUGAGGAGCGAAAGGAGGAAUCCGCCCAAGGAGGGGCUCGCGUCUGAUUAGCUAGUUGGUGAGGUAAUAGCUUACCAAGGCCGUGAUCAGUAGCUGGUCCGAGAGGAUGAUCAGCCACACUGGGACUGAGACAAGGCCCAGACUCCUACGGGAGGCAGCAGUGGGGAAUUUUCCGCAAUGGGCGAAAGCCUGACGGAGCAAUGCCGCGUGGAGGUAAAAGGCCUACGGGUCAUGAACCUCUUUUCCUGGAGAAGAAACAAUGACGGUAUCUGGGGAAUAAGCAUCGGCUAACUCUGUG
rnacentral:rRNA from 1 species